AUGUGAUCGUCUCUCGCAUAUCAAUAAGCGGAGGAAAAGAAACUAACAAGGAUUCCCCUAGUAACGGCGAGUGAAGCGGGAAGAGCUCAAAUUUGAAAUCUUAAAGGGUUUCCCUUUACGAAUUGUAGUUUAAAGAAGUGCUUUUCUGUUGAGGUUUUGGUAAAAGUUCUUUGGAAUAGGACAUCAUAGAGGGUGAGAAUCCCGUAUUUGACCUUUACUUUCAACUUUGUGAUACACUUUCAAAGAGUCGGAUUGUUUGGGAAUGCAGUCCAAAAUGGGUGGUAAAUUUCAUCUAAAGCUAAAUAUUGGCGAGAGACCGAUAGCGAACAAGUACCGUGAGGGAAAGAUGAAAAGAACUUUGAAAAGAGAGUUAAACAGUACGUGAAAUUGUCAAAAGGGAAGCGUUUGACACCAGUGUUGUUUUUCUGAAAUCAAUUAAAGAACUGUUUAUGCUAAGUUGUUUAGACUUUAUCAGCUAACUGUUUAGUUUUGAGCUUUUCUUUAAUGCACUUUUCAGUUAACAAGUCAACAUCAAUUUCUUUUGCUGUAAAAAAGCUUGAGGAAGGUGGCUUGAGAUUCGUCUUAAGUGUUUAUAGCCUCUUGCCUAUGCAGUCGGAGAGAUUGAGGUCUGCAGCGUAGAUCCUUCGGGGCUAAAUGCAUUUGUGCUAAGUUAUAGCAUUUUAUAGACAACUUGUUGACUAUGAUUUGUCUUGUAGCUUACUCGCUUAUGUUAUUUUACCUACGCUUAGGAUGUUGACACACGCGCGUGCUCG
rnacentral:rRNA from 1 species